rnacentral:rRNA from 1 species
AGAGUUUGAUCAUGGCUCAGGAUGAACGCUGGCGGCGUGCCUAACACAUGCAAGUCGAGCGAUCUUCUUCGGAAGAGAGCGGCGGACGGGUGAGUAACGCGUGGGUAACCUGCCCUGUACACACGGAUAACAUACCGAAAGGUAUGCUAAUACGGGAUAAUAUAAGGAAUUCGCAUGUUUUUCUUAUCAAAGCUCCGGCGGUACAGGAUGGACCCGCGUCUGAUUAGCUAGUUGGUGAGGUAACGGCUCACCAAGGCGACGAUCAGUAGCCGACCUGAGAGGGUGAUCGGCCACAUUGGAACUGAGACACGGUCCAAACUCCUACGGGAGGCAGCAGUGGGGAAUAUUGCACAAUGGGCGAAAGCCUGAUGCAGCAACGCCGCGUGAGCGAUGAAGGCCUUCGGGUCGUAAAGCUCUGUCCUCAAGGAAGAUAAUGACGGUACUUGAGGAGGAAGCCCCGGCUAACUACGUGCCAGCAGCCGCGGUAAUACGUAGGGGGCUAGCGUUAUCCGGAUUUACUGGGCGUAAAGGGUGCGUAGGCGGUCUUUUAAGUCAGAAGUGAAAGGCUACGGCUUAACCGUAGUAAGCUUUUGAAACUGGAGGACUUGAGUGCAGGAGAGGAGAGUGGAAUUCCUAGUGUAGCGGUGAAAUGCGUAGAUAUUAGGAGGAACACCAGUAGCGAAGGCGGCUCUCUGGACUGUAACUGACGCUGAGGCACGAAAGCGUGGGGAGCAAACAGGAUUAGAUACCCUGGUAGUCCACGCCGUAAACGAUGAGUACUAGGUGUCGGGGGUUACCCCCCUCGGUGCCGCAGCUAACGCAUUAAGUACUCCGCCUGGGGAGUACGCUCGCAAGAGUGAAACUCAAAUGAAUUGACGG